UGGGGUGUGGCUCAGUGGUAGAGUGCUUGCCCAGGAUGCAUAGGCCCUGGGUUCUAUCCCUAGCACCUCAG
rnacentral:tRNA from 1 species